rnacentral:rRNA from 1 species
UACGAAGGGGGCUAGCGUUGUUCGGAAUUACUGGGCGUAAAGGGCGCGUAGGCGGUUCGUUAAGUCCUGUGUGAAAUCCCCCGGCUCAACUGGGGAACUGCACAGGAAACUAGCGGGCUUGAGUUCGGGAGAGGUGAGUGGAACUGCGAGUGUAGAGGUGAAAUUCGUAGAUAUUCGCAAGAACACCAGUGGCGAAGGCGGCUCACUGGCCCGAUACUGACGCUGAGGUGCGAAAGCGUGGGGAGCAAACAGG